rnacentral:tRNA from 1 species
AAUGAAAUGGCUGAACGUAAGCAUUAAACUGUAAAUUUAAUUAUAGGAAUUUUUAUCCUUUUCGUUA